AUGAACGCUGGCGGCGUGCUUAACACAUGCAAGUCGAACGAUUAAAGCUCACUUCGGUGAGUGUAUAGAGUGGCGAACGGGUGAGUAACACGUGGGAAACCUGCCCCUUUCUUCGGGAUAACUUCGGGAAACCGUUGCUAAUACCGGAUACUCCGGGAUGGUCGCAUGGCCGACCCGGGAAAGCUUUAUGUGGAAAGGGAUGGUCCCGCGGCCCAUUAGCUUGUUGGUGGGGCAAUGGCCUACCAAGGCGAUGAUGGGUAGCCG
rnacentral:rRNA from 1 species